AGUGAACGCUGGCGGUAGGCCUAACACAUGCAAGUCGAACGGCAGCACAGUAAGAGCUUGCCCUUACGGGUGGCGAGUGGCGGACGGGUGAGGAAUACAUCGGCAUCUACUUUUUCGUGGGGGAUAACGUAGGGAAACUUACACUAAUACCGCAUAUGACCUACGGGUGAAAGCAGGGGAUCUUCGGACCUUGCGCGAUUGAAUUAGCCGAUGUCGGAUUAGCUAGUUGGCGGGGUAAAGGCCCACCAAGGCGACGAUCCGUAGCUGGUCUGAGAGGAUGAUCAGCCACACUGGAACUGAGACACGGUCCAGACUCCUACGGGAGGCAGCAGUGGGGAAUAUUGGACAAUGGGCGCAAGCCUGAUCCAGCCAUACCGCGUGGGUGAAGAAGGCCUUCGGGUUGUAAAGCCCUUUUGUUGGGAAAGAAAAGCAGCAGGUUAAUACCCCGCUGUUCUGACGGUACCCAAAGAAUAAGCACCGGCUAACUUCGUG
rnacentral:rRNA from 1 species